rnacentral:misc_RNA from 1 species
GUGUGUGUGUGUGUGUGUGUGUACUUCUAACAUAUUAACAAAUUAAACAAUAAAUUAAAUAACUAAUUAACAAGAAUGUCAAGUUAAAGUAAUAAGAAUAAUAACAAAUUAACAAUACCUAUAAAAGUUAAACAACUAAUUAACAAGAAUAUCAAAUUAAAUUAACAAAAAUAAGAACAAAUUAACAAAGUGAAAGUAAACAAAUUAACAACACCCAUAUAAAUUAAACAACUAAUCAAUAAGAAUAUCAAGUUAAAGUAACAAGAAUAAUAACAAAUUAAUAAAUUAACAAAGUUAAAGUAAAAAAAAUUAACAAAUUAACAUUACCUGUAUAAUUUAAACAACUAAUUAACAAAUUAACAACA